rnacentral:tmRNA from 1 species
GGGGCCGAUGUGGUUUCGACCGGGCGAGCUUCAGGUCCGGCGUUGCGCGUCGAGGGGCGUGGUGGCCUCGUAAAAACCACGCAACACAAAUAUCUGCCGAUGAGCAGUACCUCAUGGCUGCCUGAUAAACAGGUAGUCUGACCCGGGCUGGACGCCUGCUACGGUCCGGGUCAAUGACAGCAGGCUGGCCGACUCUUGGUGUUCCCAGGGGUGAAGCGGCGAGAUUUAUAACUGGGGACUGGACCCGAAGUAGGCUGUUAGUGGCCGGCGGAGGGUUGAGAUUAAAUCACUGACUACACGCGUAGAAGCGCCGAACCGGCCGUUUCGGCACGGGGGUUCGAUUCCCCCCGGCUCCAUUG